rnacentral:rRNA from 1 species
UGGGGAAUAUUGCACAAUGGGCGAAAGCCUGAUGCAGCAACGCCGCGUGAGUGAUGAAGGCCUUCGGGUUGUAAAGCUCUGUCUUUUGGGACGAUAAUGACGGUACCAAAGGAGGAAGCCACGGCUAACUACGUGCCAGCAGCCGCGGUAAUACGUAGGUGGCAAGCGUUGUCCGGAUUUACUGGGCGUAAAGGAUGCGUAGGCGGAUUUUUAAGUGAGAUGUGAAAACCCUAAGCUUAACUUGGGGACUGCAUUUCAUACUGGAAAUCUAGAGUGCGGGAGAGGAGAAUGGAAUUCCUAGUGUAGCGGUGAAAUGCGUAGAGAUUAGGAAGAACACCAGUGGCGAAGGCGAUUCUCUGGACCGUAACUGACGCUGAGGCAUGAAAGCGUGGGUAGCAAACAGGAUUAGAUACCCUGGUAGUCCACGCCGUAAACGAUGAGUACUAGGUGUAGGAGGUAUCGACCCCUUCUGUGCCGCAGUUAACACAAUAAGUACUCCGCCUGGGAAGUACGAUCGCAAGAUUAAAACUCAAAUGAAUUGACGGGGGUCAUAGCUGUUUUUCCU